rnacentral:misc_RNA from 1 species
GACUCUGUUGUGUUACUACAACUGGUCUGAAAUGCAUGAGUGCAUCCUGCCGUUGCUGUGUUUUCAGUGUGAUAAGCAUCUUCACUGGACCAAGUUCCCUUUGGGACACGCAUGCAUUGUGGGCUCUGUGCUGGCAAACCGUCUUUGGACAACCUUGACAAUUUGACCUCAGAUCGGGUGGGACUACCCGCUGAACUUAA